rnacentral:lncRNA from 10 species
AUGCAUAAACCCCAGCGAAGGGUGAGCGCACGGCAUGGCACCUGCAGCAUGGGGUUCACGUUCUGGAAGGUUCUGGCUGACUCCCACCCCGCCCUUCACUGGCCAAGUAAACUUGCAGAAGUUACUUAACCCUUGACCUAGAAGAGCCUCCUGUCACCUGAAAAGGGAAAGUCGGGAUUGUAAGGAAAGGAAUCUCAUAGGGCUUCUCUGAGGAGACAAAUCAUUGGAUUGGGCUUAGACGUUCCAUCCGUGGCAAGAUUUCCGGCUUUGCCCUUUGGAGCCUGAGGAGCAAGGGUAGAAUGAGGAUCGUGAGGUUCUUCAGAGGCAGUUACUCACGAGGUCACAGCGCAGAAACGGCAAGAAAUGUCAGUUAUAAAAUGUCCAUGUGCAUUUUAAAUGAAUGGUUAUUAAAAUCCUUCUUUUUCCG